AUGACCGGCCCCUCUCCAAUCAAGGUGUCCAAGGAGCGCCAUAUGCGUCAGUCCUUGUUUUCCUCUGAAGGAGAAUUCCGAAACUUGUCGAUGGCCAUAUCGUGGAUGACCGACCACAGAGCAGAGCAGAGUAGAGCACGUGAUGCAGAUGCAGAUGUAGAUGUAGAUGUAGCCCCCGAUGCCUUCCGUUGGUUGACUUAUUACUGCUCAUCGAGGACAUCUUGCUUCCACCCCCCGCUUUCCACCCGAUCUAUCGAGCACAGCACAAAAUUAUCAGUAUCUCACAUAGUAUCUCCUUUUUUUGUUCUUAGCAUACCAUACCAUACCAGUAGCAGCAUGGUCACAAAUGCUGUUAGCGUCUCGUUGAUAGGGUGGUUCGUCACGCCGUUCCUCAGCAAGUCCAUCAAGGCGGUACGCAAAUACAUAGACGAGGAGAACAAAUCGCUCAAGAAUGUCACUCCCAAGCUGAAGGAGCUGGCCGACCAUCUUGAUGGCAUCAGGGUGAUUGUUGACCAAGUCGGGCUAUGUUUCAUCAAGGGGACAGAGGAGGCCUUGGAUCAUCUGUGGCGGCUCAAGCGUGCCAUUUAUGAAGCGGAGGAGAUUCUGGACCUGUACGAGAGUCUAAAGAACAAUCGUCUUUCUUGUGAGUUUGUGCAGCAAUUUACUGGGACCAAAGACUCACCUAGUCGGCUGGAGGAAGUGGUGGAGAAGCUAGGCGGACUUGGCGUGAGGACGCGGAAGUUGCUAAAGAAUUCAGACAGCAAUCCCAACAUUGUUCAUGGUUCUCCCAUCCUCCGUAGAGGCCCGUCACAAGCAAAUCCCGGGAAUGGUUUCUUCGGGUACGCCGACGAGCGUCACCAGCUACAGAAUCUGCUGAAAGGCGAGCAGAAUAAGGUUAUAGCCAUCAUAGGCCAUGGAGGGAUGGGGAAGACUCACCUUGCUCGCCAGGUAUUUGAUGCUAAUGAGCGUGGGUUGGAGGUGCGCAUAUGGGCGCACGUCUGCAACAAAUUGGAUCAAAUUGAGCUUCUGACAGAGAUAUGCCAGUCGCCCAUCAACAAGUCUGGCGCCCCAAUCCGUGCUCCAAUAAUGGACACCGUUGCUGCGCUAGAGUCCGUGGUUAAAGGUCUGUCCAAAACCUCAGGGUUGAUCAAACUACCAAAACCUUGUUUGGUCGUGCUUGAUGAUGUAUGGCAGCACGAGGACGGAUUUGCUGGGUCGACCAGCUGCCACACGCAGCGGAUCAGCCGGACUCAGAGAAAUGAGGCAUGGGCCAGUGUGCUGGCCAUGCUGAGGAGCCUUAAAAGUUGCAAAGUUGUAAUGACCACUCGAGACAAGGUUUGCUCCACAACACUCAAGGCAGAUGAAACAAUCGUCCUGGAUGGGAUCAGCCAAGACCCAAUGAAAGAGCUGCUCAAACACACUGCGAAAUCUGACCAACCUCCCCAAGAGCUUGUGCAACGGAUUGACAAGUUGAAGGGAUCCCCACGAGCAGCUCUCAGUCUUGUUCACGAGCUCAAGGAAGCAAAUAUUAAGAUUCAGGAGCAAAUCAUCCUAGGUGAACUCGACGACAAGAAUCACAUCAAAGGCCUGUAUGAAGAACAUCUAUUCACCUACCAUAACCUACCACUGCACUUACAGAGCUGCCUGGCAUUCUGCAGCGUGUUCCCAUAUAAUUGGAAGUUCCAUCCUGAAAAGUUAACCAAGAUGUGGAUAGCUCACGGUUUCAUUGACGACACGCAAGUGAAACAACACAUGCUGGCUGACCAGAAGCUGCUGGCCAUGGAGAGUGUGGCGAAAGGCUAUUUUAAGGAUCUCGUGGAUCGGUCCUUAUUCAAGAUUGACACGGAUGGCCUCUAUGUGAUCCAUGUGCACAUCCAUUCCAUGAUACGCCAGGUGUCUGGCGAUGACUGUAGGAGCAUUAGCAACGGCUCAUCAUCGGAAAUAAUCGUCCCUGCAACAGUUCGCCACUUAUCUGUGACUGCCGGCUGCCUAGCGAAGCUCAAACCAGGGCCUCCAUUGGUGGAGAGCAAUGUGAAACCUGAGGACGAAUUCAGACCGGUGCGAACACUGAUUGUCUUCACGGACAAGGGAGCUCCUUCCUUGCCUUGGAGUGACAUUCGUCAGGCAAACAGCACACUCAGAAAGUUCAAGCACGUCAAGGUACUGGAUUUGACGGAUACAGCCAUAACUCAGGUGCCUGAUAUUGUCGGUGAGCUCACACAUCUGCGGUACCUAGGUGUUCCUAACACCCUGAACCACCCUCCUGCUCAAAUUCCCAAGCUACUUCUGUUGUACAUCAACCAUGAAGCAACCAAGACGGCACCCCUGAUGCAGUCUGCGCCCUCGCACAAUCCUGGUGGCGGCGGCGCCCGCAAGGCGCCCCCGCACAAUCCUGGUGGCGGCGGUAUCGGCAUCGGCAAGGCGCCCCCGCACAAUCCUGGUGGCGGCGGCGCCGGCAAGGCGCCCCCGCACAAUCCUGGUGGCGCCGGCGCCGGUAAGGCGUCCCCGCACAAUCCUGGUGGCGUCAGCGCUGGUAAGGCGCCCCCGCACAAUCCUGGUGGCGGCGGCGCCGGCAAGGCACCCCCGCACAAUCCUGGUGGCGUCGGCGCCGGUAAGGUGCCCUCGCACAAGGCGCCCCCGCACAAUCCUGGUGGCGGCGGUGCCGGCAAGGCGCCCCCGCACAAUCCUGGUGGUGGCGGCGCCGGCAAGGCGCCCCCGCACAAUCCUGGUGGCGUCGGCGCCGGUAAGGUGCCCUCGCACAAGGCGCCCCCGCACAAUCCUGGUGGUGGCGGUGCCGGCAAGGCGCCCCCGCACAAUUCUGGUGGCGUCGACGCCGGCAAGUCGCCCCCGCACAAGGCGCCCCCGCACAAUUCUUGUGGCGGCGGCGCCGGCAAGGCACCCCCGCACAAGGCGCCCCCGCACAAUCCUGAUGGCGGCGGCGCCGGCAAGGCGCUCCCGCACAAUCCUGGUGGUGGCGGCGCCGGCAAGGCGCCCCCGCCCUGCAAUUUCAAUGACUUAAGUUCAUGUGUUUCCCUUGGCACGCCAUAUACACUGUGUAUGGGUGAGGUGCAUGGUGAGGCCGUGUUAGCCACGAAGUUCCUGCCGUACUUCUGGCUAUCCAUUGAGACACCAGAGAGACAGGUACACCCGUACAACUACAAGAGUUCUAAAUCAGUAGAGCAACCUGACACGAGUCUCGGAACAGAAGGAAAGACCAGAGACGAAGCAAGUUCGACGCCACAACAAAAGGAAAGAGGAUGGCUGAGUAAGCAGCUCCCAGAAUCAUCACGGUUCAUGCUUGUGAUCUGUGGAUGCCCAUCCUCCACAAAGGCAGUCUCUGGAGUUCACCAUCUUCAGAUUCUCAGCAGCGUCUCGCCUUCUUCGUCGGUUCCUCGCUCCCGGCACACAUCUUAUCCUCCAGGGCCCUCUUCUUGA
rnacentral:rRNA from 1 species